rnacentral:lncRNA from 1 species
AAGUCCGGCCUCUUUCUAAAGCUACAACCUGAAGAUCAUGAUACAACCUUUUUUUUCCCGAGUUCCCAGUUGUUUUGAAACCACAAUAAAUCCAGAGAAUGCCAGACUUUGAUGGACCGCCACCUUCCUGUUCAAGUGAGCACAGCACAACAAGGAUGACUUGCUUGAGCAGCGUGAUCAGGGGCUUGUGGGAUUGCUGGGCAUAUGGCUUCAUGAAGCCACCGUAGCGCUUGACAGCGGUUGGGCUACCCCAGCGGAAGUGACCCAUCCGAUAGGACCCAUCCUUCUUAUCCUGCAGCCCCGUCCCAGUGAGGGUUCUGGGGACUACCUUAGUCUGAGCCUUGGCCCCCUGGUUCCCCAGAGCUCCCGCCAUCUUGUCCUCCCAGCUGCUCAGCUGCCUGCGUGCCUGCAGGGGAAAGGUGCCCUCGGAGGAGUCCCCCCCUUCCAGACUGGAGGCAUAGACUUUGAUGGUGCGGCGUUUGCGCCCAAUGGGUUUGCCCCAGCGGAAGUGCUCCAUGGAGUAGGAGUGUCUUUUGUCGCUGUGGGACUCAGGGUCAGCAUCCAGGGCUCUCUCUCCAGAGGUCAGGGCUGCCAACAGGAUGCCCAGGGAGAGGCUGUCCUCAGUGGACUGCUGGGCAGCUGAUCUGGGCUCUGGGGAUUCAUCCUGGAGCCCAGACCUGAACAGGUGGAUGCACUCCUGCCAGACGGAAGAAGAACAGGAGACGGGAGCUCAAUACAAAUGGAUGGACAGGAACAGUGUUUAGUGAUAUAUGGAUGGAUGGG